rnacentral:rRNA from 2 species
CGGAUCUCUUGGUUCUGGCAUCGAUGAAGAACGCAGCAAAAUGCGAUAAGUAAUGUGAAUUGCAGAAUUCAGUGAAUCAUCGAAUCUUUGAACGCACAUUGCGCCCGCCAGUAUUCUGGCGGGCAUGCCUGUCUGAGCGUCAUUUCAACCCUCAGGACCC